rnacentral:rRNA from 1 species
GUAGGGUGCAAGCGUUAUCCGGAUUUAUUGGGCGUAAAGGGCUCGUAGGCGGUUCGUCGCGUCUGGUGUGAAAGUCCGUCGCUUAACGGUGGAUCUGCGCCGGGUACGGGCGGGCUGGAGUGCGGCAGGGGAGACUGGAAUUCCCGGUGUAACGGUGGAAUGUGUAGAUAUCGGGAAGAACACCAAUGGCGAAGGCAGGUCUCUGGGCCGUUACUGACGCUGAGGAGCGAAAGCGUGGGGAGCGAACAGGAUUAGAUACCCUGGUAGUCCACGCCGUAAACGGUGGAUGCUGGAUGUGGGGCCCUUUCCACGGGUUCCGUGUCGGAGCUAACGCGUUAAGCAUCCCGCCUGGGGAGUACGGCCGCAAGGCUA